rnacentral:tRNA from 1 species
GUUAGUAUGGCAGAGCUUGGUUAUGCAAAAGAUCUAAGUCCUUUUAACCGGGGUUCAAAUCCCCUCACUAACU